UACGGAGGGGGCUAGCGUUGUUCGGAAUUACUGGGCGUAAAGCGCGCGUAGGCGGACCUGCAAGUCGGGGGUGAAAGCCCGAGGCUCAACCUCGGAACUGCUUUCGAUACUGCGGGUCUCGAGUCCGGGAGAGGUGAGUGGAAUUCCUAGUGUAGAGGUGAAAUUCGUAGAUAUUAGGAAGAACACCAGUGGCGAAGGCGGCUCACUGGCCCGGUACUGACGCUGAGGCGCGAAAGCGUGGGGAGCAAACAGG
rnacentral:rRNA from 1 species